GUGCCAGCAGCCGCGGUAAUUCCAGCUCCAAUAGCGUAUAUUAAAGUUGUUGUGGUUAAAAAGCUCGUAGUUGAACCUUGGGCCUGGCUGGCCGGUCCGCCUCACCGCGUGCACUGGUCCGGCCGGGCCUUUCCCUCUGUGGAACCCCAUACCCUUCACUGGGCGUGGCGGGGAAACAGGACAUUUACUUUGAAAAAAUUAGAGUGCUCCAGGCAGGCCUAUGCUCGAAUACAUUAGCAUGGAAUAAUAAAAUAGGACGCGCGGUUCUAUUUUGUUGGUUUAUAGGACCGCCGUAAUGAUUAAUAGGGACAGUCGGGGGCAUCAGUAUUCAACUGUCAGAGGUGAAAUUCUUGGAUCAGUUGAAGACUAACUACUGCGAAAGCAUUUGCCAAGGAUGUUUUCAUUAAUCAGGAACGAAAGUUAGGGGAUCGAAGACGAUCAGAUACCGUCGUAGUCUUAACCAUAAACUAUGCCGACUAGGGAUCGGACGGUGUUAUUCAUGACCCGUUCGGCACCUUACGAGAAAUCAAAGUGCUUGGGCUCCAGGGGGAGUAUGGUCGCAAGGCUGAAACUUAAAGAAAUUGACGGAAGGGCACCACCAGGGGUGGAGCCUGCGGCUUAAUUUGACUCAACACGGGGCAAACUCACCAGGUCCAGACACAAUAAGGAUUGACAGAUUGAGAGCUCUUUUCUUGAUUUUGUGGGUGGUGGUGCAUGGCCGGUUCUUAGUUGGUGGGGUGACUGGU
rnacentral:rRNA from 1 species